AUACUUACCUGGAUGGGGUUAGAGUGAUCAUGAAGGCUCAUAGCCUAGAAUAGUGACCUUCAUUGCACCAGGAAGGGGUGCUAUUUUAAGGUCUACCCUAGAGGUGGAGCCUACAUCAUAAUUUGUUGCAGAGGGGACUUGCGUUCGCACAGUCCCUA
rnacentral:snRNA from 1 species